rnacentral:rRNA from 1 species
AUAUACCAAGGGGAGCGAGAGAACCCUCGUUAAGGAAUUAGGCAAAUUUCCCCCGUACGUUCGCAAUAAGGGGGGCCUCUGGUGGUGAGCUUAAUCGCAAAGCUGCUGGAGGCCGCAGAGAAAUGGCUCUUCCAACUGUUUAACAAAAACACAGGUCUCUGCUAAGUCGAAAGACGAAGUAUAGGGGCUGACGCCUGCCCAGUGCUGGAAGGUUAAGGGGAGAGGUUAGACGCAAGCCGAAGCUUUGGGCCGAAGCCCCAGUGAACGGCGGCCGUAACUAUAACGGUCCUAAGGUAGCGAAAUUCCUUGUCGGGUAAGAUCCGACCCGCACGAAUGGCGUAAUGAGAGGAGCACUGUCUCAACGAGGGACUCGGCGAACAUUGAAGGACGUGUGAAGAUACACGUGACCCGCAGCGGGACAAAAAGACCCCGUGAAGCUUUACUACAACUUGCCAUUGAGUUAGGGCUAAACCUGUGUAGUAUAGGUGGGAGGCUUUGAAGCUGGGACGCCAGUCUCGGUGGAGCCACCGUUGAAAUACCACCCUGGUUUAUUCUUGGCUCUAACCUGUCGCCGUUAUCCGGCAUGGGAACAGUGGCUGGUGGGUAGUUUGACUGGGGCGGUCGCCUCCGAAAGCGUAACAGAGGCGCCCAAAGGUUCCCUCAGGCUGAAUGGAAACCAGCCGUUGAGUGUAAAGGCACAAGGGAGCUUGACUGCAAGACCAACAAGUCGCGCAGGGACGAAAGUCGGGCUUAGUGAUCCCACGGUUCAGAGUGGAAUGGCCGUGGCUUACCGGAUAAAAGCUACUCCGGGGAUAACAGGGUAGUCUGGUCCAAGAGUUCAUAUCGACGACCAGGUUCGCCACCUCGAUGUCGGCUCAUCACAUCCUGGGGCUGGAUAAGGUCCCAAGGGUUGGGCUGUUCGCCCAUUAAAGUGGUACGUGAGCUGGGUUCAGACCGUCGUGAGACAGGUCGGUCUCUAUCCGCUGUGGGCGUAAGGGAUUUGAGAGAAGCUGCCCCUAGUACGAGAGGACCGGGGUGGACGGACCUCUAGUGUGCCAGUUGUUCUGCCAAGAGCAUUGCUGGGUAGCUACGUCCGGCAGAGAUAACCGCUGAAAGCAUCUAAGUGGGAAACUCGUCUCAAGAUUAGAUCCCUCAUCCGUAUGGAGUAAGACCGCUAGAAGACUACUAGUUUGAUAGGCGGCAGGUGUAAGCGCAGUAAUGUGUUCAGCUUAGCCGUACUAAUGGUCGAGGGCUUACGUUU